GCUCCUGUAGUUCAACGAAUAGAAUGUAGGUUUCCGGUACCUAAGAUAAGGGUUUGAUUCCCUUCGGGAGUACAA
rnacentral:tRNA from 60 species